rnacentral:lncRNA from 1 species
CGCCCCUGAUAAAUGUUGAAUUCGGUAUACUACCGUAUAUAUUCAUGAUUCACAAGGGUUCCUAUGAAGCUUAUAUUUAACAUAUUAUGUGCCCUAAAUAAGGUGCACAGAUAACUUUACAAAAUGCACGGUGGUAUUUGUACCAUAUCAAUUGUGUAUACAUGCUACGAUUAGAUUUGUACCUUAUAACCAUUAUAUUGACGUUACAAUACCACAUAUCAUACCAUACCAUGUUUUUCAGUAUGCCCCCAAAAAAUGCAUCAGACUGAUUAAUAAAAAGAACUGAUUAUCGCAGCUUCAUUUUGUCAUUCUAAAUACAUUUUGACACAUGUUUUGAAUUUGUGAUCACCUACUUACUUACAACAACAUAUAACAAGGUUAUUGCAAAACGAUAGAUUUCAAUAAUUUAGGAGGGGCUCUUCAGCAAAGCAACCUUAUGUUAUCGAUGCAAGAUAUAAAGUUUUAAAUAAUGACAUCUUGGUUUAAAUACAAUAUUGUUAAAAUAAUACACAUCAAUUAUAUCACUUGAUUCUCUUAGUUUUAGUUUGGUUCGUGUUGCUCAGUCUUGGGUUUUCUAUGUAUUUUGUUUGGCUGUGAGUCUUUUUUUUUUUCUUUUUUAGUCAUAGGGUAACGGUUGUCAGUUUAUUUUCGACUUUUUGAGUUUGUCUUUUUGGUGUCCUUCGCCUCUCUUUUAUAACUUAACUCGUGUGUUAUAUGUGUAUAUAACUGUAAUUUAUGUUAAUAUGUUUACUAGUUAACCCUUUAAGUUUUACUUUUAUCAAUCAUUAUAAAUUAUUGUUGUUUUUUUUUUAAUCCGAACUAAAAGAAAUAUUCAGACACUAGACUAGGUACAUGUAUAUCUGUGAUAAAAAUUGUGCUAUGCAAGAAGAAUAUUGAUUGAUUGAUUGAUUGAUUGACAUUUAACACCACUUUCAACACUAUUGUGCUAUUUUGUGGCGAUCAGAUUUUAUUGGUGGAGAAAGCCGCAGUGCCCACCGAAAACCACCGACCUUCUGUAGGAAAACUGACAAUCCUAGUCAAUUAAGAUUGGAGUCGAGUGCACCUGCUCCGUGCG